rnacentral:tRNA from 1 species
AAAUAAGUAAGCUAAUUUAAGCUUUUAGGCCCAUAACCUAACCAUAGAUUCAUUUAAAACUCUUAUUUA